UGCAGUCGAACGGUACAGGCCGCAAGGUGCUGACGAGUGGCGAACGGGUGAGUAAUGCAUCGGAACGUGCCCAGUCGUGGGGGAUAACUGCUCGAAAGAGCAGCUAAUACCGCAUACGAUCUAUGGAUGAAAGCGGGGGACCGUAAGGCCUCGCGCGAUUGGAGCGGCCGAUGUCAGAUUAGGUAGUUGGUGGGGUAAAGGCUCACCAAGCCAACGAUCUGUAGCUGGUCUGAGAGGACGACCAGCCACACUGGGACUGAGACACGGCCCAGACUCCUACGGGAGGCAGCAGUGGGGAAUUUUGGACAAUGGGCGCAAGCCUGAUCCAGCAAUGCCGCGUGCAGGAAGAAGGCCUUCGGGUUGUAAACUGCUUUUGUACGGAACGAAACGGUCUGGGUUAAUACCCUGGGCUAAUGACGGUACCGUAAGAAUAAGCACCGGCUAACUACGUGCCAGCAGCCGCGGUAAUACGUAGGGUGCGAGCGUUAAUCGGAAUUACUGGGCGUAAAGCGUGCGCAGGCGGUGAUGUAAGACAGUCGUGAAAUCCCCGGGCUCAACCUGGGAAUUGCGAUUGUGACUGCAUCGCUGGAGUGCGGCAGAGGGGGAUGGAAUUCCGCGUGUAGCAGUGAAAUGCGUAGAUAUGCGGAGGAACACC
rnacentral:rRNA from 1 species